GCCUACGGGGGGCAGCAGUAGGGAAUCUUCCACAAUGGGCGAAAGCCUGAUGGAGCAACGCCGCGUGGGUGAAGAAGGUCUUCGGAUCGUAAAACCCUGUUGUUAGAGAAGAAAGUGCGUGAGAAUAACUGUUCACGUUUCGACGGUAUCUAACCAGAAAGCCACGGCUAACUACGUGCCAGCAGCCGCGGUAAUACGUAGGUGGCAAGCGUUAUCCGGAUUUAUUGGGCGUAAAGGGAGCGCAGGCGGUCUUUUAAGUCUGAUGUGAAAGCCUUCGGCUUAACCGGAGGAGUGCAUUGGAAACU
rnacentral:rRNA from 1 species